AGCAGCCGCGGUAAUUCCAGCUCCAAUAGCGUAUAUUAAAGUUGCUGCAGUUAAAAAGCUCGUAGUUGAAUUUCGGGAUCAAUAUGUUGGUCGUGCCUCGGUACGUACUAGCUUAUUGGUUUCUCCCUUCUGAAGAACCUCGAUGUCAUUAAUUUGGUGUCUUGGGGAAUCAGGACUGUUACUUUGAAAAAAUUAGAGUGUUUAAAGCAGGCUCGCGCUUGAAUACAUUAGCAUGGAAUAAUGAAAUAGGACGUUUGAUUCUAUUUUGUUGGUUUCUAGGAUCGACGUAAUGAUUAAUAGGGAUAGUUGGGGGCAUUAGUAUUCAAUUGUCAGAGGUGAAAUUCUUGGAUUUAUUGAAGACUAACUACUGCGAAAGCAUUUGCCAAGGAUGUUUUCAUUAAUCAAGAACGAAAGUUAGGGGACCGAAGACGAUCAGAUACCGUCGUAGUCUUAACCAUAAACUAUGCC
rnacentral:rRNA from 1 species